rnacentral:lncRNA from 1 species
CUCCUCCAAUAGCUAAAUUGCUCGUACAAGGACUAGCUACCUAUGAAACAGAUAAAUGGGCUAAGCAUAGAAGAUUGAUCAAUCCUGCUUUUCACCUUGAGAAGCUAAAGGUAACUCUUGCGCUUGAUCUCAAUUUGUGAUCUUUGUGCCAAAUCCUCUCAUCUCAGUACACUGAUUCGAUGUACAUUUAUCUAUUGUGUUGUACAGCACAUGUUACCAUCAUUUUACUUGAGUUGCUGUGAGAUGUUGGGCAAAUGGGACAAGAUUGUACCUAGUGAAAGAUCAAGUGAAUUAGACGUGAGUCCUUACAUUCAAACUUUGACAAGUGACGCGAUUUCACGCACUGCAUUUGGCAGUAACUACGAAGAAGGAAGAAAGAUAUUUGAACUACAAACAGAACAAGCAGAGCUUAUCACACAAGCAAGAAAUUCUUUUAUAAUCCCGGGAUGGAGGUUCAAUUACUUUUUUCUUCGUUAAUUCCUUCUGUUUGUAAUUCAUAAUACAAUAAAAGACAGUUCAUGACUUAUUUUUACUUUACGCAUAGGUUUUUGCCGACUAAAGCCAAUAGAAGAAUGAAGGAAAUUGCAAAGGAAGUCGAAUCAUCAGUACUAGGCAUAAUUAGAAAAAGAAUAGAGGCAAUAGAGGCAGGUGAAGCUAGUUCUGAUGAUUUAUUAGGUAUAUUGUUAGAAUCGAAUUUCAAGGAAAUCCAUCAAUAUGGGAGCAAGCAUGGGAUUACAUUAAAGGAGGUCACUGAGGAGUGCAAACUUUUCUACCUUGCCGGGCAGGAGACAACCUCGUCCUUGCUGGUUUGGACGAUGAUUUUAUUGAGUAAGAAUAUGGAUUGGCAAGUCCGUGCAAGAGACGAGAUCUUACAAGUUUUUGGAAAAGGAAAACCAGAUUUUGAUGAGUUAAAUCGCCUGAGAAUAGUAAGUAAUUCUCAUUUAUUUACUCAUUAGUUCUCUUAUAUUCUUGCAGUUCUAUAUUAUGUUAUCCAUUUCAACAUUUUUUUGUAGGUAACAAUGAUUUUCCACGAGGUUCUAAGAUUAUACCCGCCUGCAUUAAUGCUCACUCGAAUAACUCACAAGGCUGCCAAAUUUGAAAACAUAUUCCUUCCGGCUGGUGUGCUGCUCUUACUGCCAGCAAUUUCAUUGCACCACGACUCCAAAAUAUGGGGCGAUGAUGCAAAGGAAUUCAACCCAGAGAGGUUCAACGAAGGAGUCUUAAAGGCAACAAAGGAUCAGUUCUCGUAUUUUCCCUUUGGUUGGGGACCUCGUAUAUGCAUUGGCCAGAAUUUCGCAAUGUUAGAAGCGAAGAUGGCGCUCGCGAUGAUUUUACAGAAUUAUUCUUUCGAGCUUUCUCCAUCUUAUGUGCAUGCUCCUUACACUGUUUUAACACUUCAACCUCAGCACGGCGCACAGUUAAUCCUCCACAAACUAUAGGCAUCAAAAUUUCGGGUUUUAAUUAUGGUUUUUACAUAUAUGUUACUUAGAAUGUUGUAUUUAAAUUUUUGUUGAAAUAAAAAUAUAUAGUAAUUGUUAGAAUAUGAUUGGACAUCUCUUAGAUUUAAGUUCCGCCACUGCGCAUUUAUGAAAAUUGUACAAAUAUAAGGUAUUGAAAAACAUGAUUAGAUUAGUAUAGAACUCUAGCUUCUAUCAGGACAGAAAAUGGCAGCAAGGUAUGCCAGUCUUUUUCUUUCAAAAUUUAAUGGGUUGGUCCAUUGCCUAAUUAUAGGGUUAAGAGCCUCAUAACCUAGGCCACGUAUGGCUAGGGCCAGUAGGUGGAUCAUCCCUAUGGUUGAAUCUAUAGGCUUGUGUCAAGUAUACUGCAGGCGGCAAAGCCUCAUUUGACAUCCCUAUAGCAGAGGCUAAAGAUUGUGAAAAUGCUAGUUGAAUGUGCUAGCCUCGUCCAUUUAAAGAUCAAUUAGCUUAAGAAUUUGCUCGAACCACCGCAGUAUGUACAGGUGGUGGUUUGGUAAUCACCUAAAGGAACCAAUUUGUCAAACGUGUUAAUGGUCGAACACCAUUACAGUUAGUUUUGUAGGUUAAGGACGAAUAACUGUUGCUACAAGUUAGAGAUUUAAAUGUGCAAUUUUUGCAAUUAUAUUAUAAAUUUAUAAAUGUGUCAUUGCUGACGUCCUACUAUUUCUUACAUAAUGAGAAUUGAUUCCUAUAGUCAAUGUCACAUUAGGUCAAAGAUCAACCCAAGAACCAAGCUUCAAAAGACAAAAUUUACCUUGUCGGAAGAGCUCAACCCAGUCUUAAAGAACGUUGAUCAGACAAGCAUAGUAUAAGGAUUGACCUAGAACCCAGCCUUGGCGGAGCAAGGGACUAUUUCAUUGUCAAGCACCAUCACCAUUAUUGGAACUAGCAUAGUUCACACCACACCAAUGCAAGCUCUUCUAUGUUGCUGAAAAGGAGACCACUUCUGUGUUACUUGUUCGGAAAUUGGUUCCACUGAGUUCACAUUCAGACUGGCAGAUGCAAGUAAGAGAAGGGGUCUCGCAAGUAUUUGAGAGUGAAAAAAACAGACACAAAUUAAAUCACCUGAAAAUCGUAAAUAACUUCCGUUUAUGCAUAACAAGUAUUAAAAAGAAGUUUGACUUGCAGACUCAUUUGUGUUUGUAUCUCGAACCCUGCUUAUAACCUUACGAGAUCUUUAUGACAGAUUUCCAUGAGUUUGCACGAGCAUCGUUGACUAGUAAUAGGAUACGAUAGUAAACGAUACAAAGUUGUGCCAACGAAGUUAUAAUUGAAUCAUAUUUGACUGCAUCUAAAGUUUGAUUUUUGAGCAGUGGGAAGUCUUCUCUUUUGUUUAGAGCUGUUACCAUAAUGCUGAAGCGUUAUGCAGAUUUUCUUUGGACUCACUCUUCAUCUUGCUAAUGCCAAAAAUGAAAAAUUUCCUUUACCCUAUUUCUCAUCUAUCAUGUAGUCUUGGUGAUCGAGCUGUGAGUCAUCUGAUUAUCCAACCAUAGACCUUUCUAGUCCCUGGACUGAAUUCUGAAGUCUAUGCUGCAUCAUUUACCGAUGGUUCAACCGGCAGAAUCACCCUUCUCAGAGGAACUUUUCUUACAAAAUAUGCCAGUGGUAUGUGACUGGAGGUAUCAGUUCUAGUACAAUAGGAUUCCCUCUGGUUGUCUUGUCCGAUAAUAGUAACAAUCCAUUCAGGAUCAAUGCAACCAAGAAACUCACAUCAGAUUGUAAUUAAAAAAAUUUCAGGUAACUUGCAUGGUCUACAAACACUGAAGGAACGUCUGUUGUAGGCUAAAAUAUGACAGAAAGUGAGAGCUGUGUUCUCUUCGAUUAAACAACUCAGAUGUUUUGAAAUCCUCUGAUCAUCCGACCUGAAACUUUGGUUCCCGGCAGAAAUUAGCAUCAGGACUGUUAGCUAGUGUUUCAAGAAAGUUGAAGCUUAUAGCAUUGGCAACUACUGGGAUUCUGGAAAUUCUGUGGCUGGAAAACUUUUGAGCAAUCUCGAUGGGAUGAGGGAAGGCAUUUGCUGAGUCUGGAUGGAUGUAGUUGACAAGUACUGUGAAGAUAUACGGUCUAAUGGAGCUCAAGUUGUUAUGCAGGUUGCUGCUUGGUGUUUGCAAAGUGAUUACGCCAACAGGCCAUGAAUUUUAAUUUUUAGAUUCAUUGUAAAAUUUAAUCUCAUUAUUAUAUUUGUAACUUAUAUUUAAUUUGAUUAAUUUUCAUUGUAAGAGUGUUGAAUUUUCUACUAUAAAAAGGACUGGAUUUUCCAUUGUUCUACACACACCAAAAACAAUCACUUGAAAAAUACUCUCAGUCAUUUAAUACUACUCUCUAUUUCUUUCAUAUUAUCUUCUUCUAUAAACUUUGGCAAUAGAUAAGGGGUUGUUCUUUCUCUCCUUGUGCUCGGGUCCAUAGAAUGAGAAUCGACUGCGAGCUAUGCAGUGUUGAAAGAACCUUCAUGAAGGGGAGACCACACGGAUUUAGGAUAGUGUUUAUUGUCACUUUCUUAAGUCAACUUUUCUAACUCUAUUCUUAUAUUUAUUUUAUUUGACUCAUGUUUAUAAUUGAUAAUUUAUUAUACAAAUCACGUUAUUUUACAUGUUAAUGGUGGUAAAGUGUUGGAGAGUGCUAACGAAGUUGAUAAGACCUGGAUUAUGAUUUCAUUAAUCCAAAGAAUUUGACAAUAAAAUAAAAUAAAAUCGCUACCGAAUCCUAAGGAAUGCCGAACGAGUAAAAUGUUUGAAAGAUGAGUGACCUUUGGAAAAAUUUUGAAGUUCAGAGGCCAAGUAUUUGGUUAACUUAAGUGACCACUGAAGGAAGGGACAAUAAUGGCAGGUGGGAAUUUAAAGGAAUUUUUUAUUAACUUAUGAUAAUAUUUUGUUGUUUGGUCUUUAUGAGCUACAAAAUUUUAAGAAUUAAUUUCUUUUUAAUUUAACCAGUGAAAACAUCUCUUUGUUUUGAUCACCAUCAUGUAUGUGGUUGAAAUCAAAUUAAAUUUAUUUAAUUUUCUUCAUCAUACGCAGCAAUUUUCUAAUUAAAACUCCCUUCUCUCUCCCCAUCCUCUGUCUCUCACACACAAACACCAAGAAAUGGAGAUAUUACAGAAAUCAGUUGCAGUAUGUUGUGCAGUUAUUUUCUUGAUUUAUGCAUGGAAAAUCUUGAACUGGGUUUGGUUUAGGCCAAAGAAGCUUGAGAGAUGCCUCAGACAGCAGGGUUUCAAUGGAAACUCGUAUAAGUUGUUGUUUGGAGACUUCAAGGAGAUGAUGAUGAUGGCAAAUGAUGCUAAGUCGAAGCCCAUCAAUUUCUCUAAUGAUAUUAUGCCCAGAGUAAUGCCCUUCAUCCAAAAAGCUGUCCAAAACUAUGGUAUGAUUGAAAAAUAAAUCCUAAUUUCGCUAAAUUGUUGUGUAAAUUACAGUAUUUAUAACAAAAUCAGUUGCUCUGAAAUCAAGAUAUCGUAGUUAAGUAUUUAUACAUGUAACUUGAAAAAUAAAGUUAUGUUUCUACUGCUUAUAAUUUGUAUUAAGCUUUGUAAUAAGUUCCAUGGAUAUUGGUUAAAUUACUGGAGAAGGGAAAUUGAAUUAUAUUCUGAAAAUUGCAAUAUUGAUGAUUUUAGUCAAGAGUCAUGAAUCACUGAAUAUCAAGUUGUGUCUCUAUUUCAUCGUACUCGGGUAGUGCCUAAUUGUCUGUAGUAUAGUAGAAGGCGCUGUGCUUCAUUUAUUUGUUUAUUUAUCUAAAACUUUUCUUUUUGACCUUUUUGAAUUUUUGGGAUGGGGUCGGUUGAGUUGGGGUUUCAUAUUCUGAUGUCUUGUAGAAUCUAUGAUUUGUGCAUAUUACAUUGAGGUCUGCAACUUGCAGGGGAGAAUUCCUUUUUAUGGUUUGGGCCAAGACCUGCAGCACUUAUCACGAACCCGGUAAUCAUAAGAGAGGUUUUGUCAAAAAGUUAUAUUUUUCAGAAGCCACCUUCUCAUCCGAUAUUUAAAUUGCUCGCACAAGGUCUAGCUACCUAUGAAACAGAUAAAUGGGCUAAGCAUCGAAGAUUGAUCAAUCCCGCUUUUCACCUUGAGAAGCUAAAGGUAACUCUUGGGAGUGAUCUCAAUUUGUGAUCUUUGUGCCAAAUCCCAUCUUCUCAACACACUGAUUCGAUGUACAUUUAUCUGUUGUGUCGUACAGCAUAUGUUACCGUCAUUUUACUUGAGUUGCUACGAGAUGUUGAGAAAAUGGGAGAAGAUUGUACCCAGUGAAAGAUCAAGUGAAUUAGACGUGUGGCCUUAUCUUCAAACUUUGACAAGCGAUGCAAUUUCACGUACUGCAUUUGGCAGUAACUACGAAGAAGGAAGAAAGAUAUUUGAACUACAAACAGAACAAAUAGAGCUUAUCACACAAGCAAGAAAUUCUUUUAUAAUCCCGGGAUGGAGGUUCUAUUACUUUUUUCUUUGUGAAUUCCUUCCAUUUUUUAAUCAUAAUACAAUACAAGACUGUUC